AACAGAUCACCUCCUGGUCGGAACGCAGGUCGUACAUCUUGCAGCUGCAGUCGUCGGAGCCUGUGAUGAUGGCGUUUCCACUGGGGAAGAACUGAGGCAGGGGAGAAAAAGAGGAUGCUCACAGAGAUGGCGUUGAUGUCGCUGGUGUGUCCGCUGAAGGUCUGCUUGCAGGUCCCUUCCCUCAGGUCCCACAGCUUGGCCAGAGAGUCGCAGGCUCCAGAGAUGAAGGUGUUCAUGUCGGAGGACAUAGCCAGCGUCAUGCAGUCUCCAAUGUGGUGGUGUCACCAGAGGCUGUCAGGAUCUCGGUGUCGCUAAGGAAACGGGCGCAAGACAGGUAACCUGGGAGGGAGAGAGACAGCCGAGCAUUCAGUCAGCAUCCUCAUCUGUCCAUCUGUC